rnacentral:lncRNA from 10 species
UAAGUCUAAUUUUACUAGAUAGAGUAAUGGAAAAUGAAAAUCUAACCCUUUAUUCCGAUAAUCUCAUGAAGCAAACCUAACUAUUUAACAUCAGCUGGAAAGAAGGGAACAUUUAUAUUGCCCGUCUCCUGUGUCUUCAAAGGUGUGAGAGUUGAGGAAUAUGUGUUCCUACGGGAACUAUGUUUGAAUAUGUGCAGUUUUCAACAUUUUGGCAAAUGAAAGCCUGACAAGUUUUUAAAAGGGCAGAAGCUUUAUUUUUUGAACAGAAAAAUCUAUUUUUUAAAUUCACAUGUUUGUAUGAGUACUUCUGGGAAGCAAGGGAUGAACUGCUAGGUAUUAUUAAGAAUGAAUGAUUUUUGCAUUUAAGUUGUUUGAAGGCAUGUAUUUUGAAAAAUAUCUGUUACAAAUUUAUAAUUUCAAGACAUACUAAAUCUUAUAAUACUUUUGGAAUUUCAUUAAUAAGGCUAAAAUCUGAGGAAUGUAACUAAUUUUCAGCCUUAAGACACUUAAGUUUGGAAGUCCUUGCUAUUCAACAGAAUAACAAGAAACCUUCAGAAUGUAUCACUCUCCCAAAAAGAAGAUAUUAAUAAGCCCUUUUCUUUUAUUCAUGGUUAUAGUUUUUUUAUAGUCUCAAAAUUCCUAAAGCAAUGCUGACAGCCAUUGAAUUUGCCAUAUUUUGUAUUCAGUGCUGUUAAUGUGCUGUUGCCUCAAGAAAAAGUGCUUUUUCUCCAUUGAUGAGGCUAGACCCUAAGAGGUAAUUAAGUCAAUGUAAAUCAAAUGGAAGUUUUUCACUUUUUUGAUCUUGGAAAUUAUAGGUAUACAUUUCCCUCUUACUACUGCUUUUUGCUGUAUCCCAUAGGUUUUGGUAUGUUGUGUUGCCGUUUUUAUCUGCUUCAAUAAAUUUUUCAAUUUCUUCUGAAUUUCUUUGUUGAAAUUGUAAGGAUCAUUAGAGGCUACUAUGAGCAACCAUA